rnacentral:rRNA from 1 species
AUUGAACGCUGGCGGCAUGCCUUACACAUGCAAGUCGAACGGUAACGGGCCUUCGGGUGCCGACGAGUGGCGAACGGGUGAGUAAUGUAUCGGAACGUACCUUUCAGUGGGGGAUAACGUAGCGAAAGUUACGCUAAUACCGCAUAUUCUGUGAGCAGGAAAGCAGGGGAUCGCAAGACCUUGCGCUGAUUGAGCGGCCGAUAUCAGAUUAGCUAGUUGGUGAGGUAAAGGCUCACCAAGGCGACGAUCUGUAGCGGGUCUGAGAGGAUGAUCCGCCACACUGGAACUGAGACACGGUCCAGACUCCUACGGGAGGUAGCAGUGGGGAAUUUUGGACAAUGGGGGCAACCCUGAUCCAGCCAUGCCGCGUGAGGGAGGAAGGUCUUCGGAUUGUAAACCUCUGUCGGUGGAGAAAAACGGCUUAUGUACUAACAGUGCAUAGGAGUGAUGGUAUCCACAAAGGAAGCACCGGCUAACUUCGUGCCAGCAGCCG